GACGGAGGAUGCAAGUGUUAUCCGGAAUCACUGGGCGUAAAGCGUCUGUAGGUGGUUUAAAAAGUCCACUGUUAAAAAUUGAAACUUAACUUCAAAGAUGCCGUGGAAACUUUUAAACUUGAGUAUGAUAGGGGUAGAGGGAAUUUCCAGUGGAGCGGUGAAAUGCGUAGAUAUUGGAAAAGGCCACCAAUGGCGAAGGCACUCUACUGGGCCAUUACUGACACUGAGAGACGAAAGCUAGGGGAGCGAAUGGG
rnacentral:rRNA from 1 species